GUAGAAUUCCAGGUGUAGCGGUGAAAUGCGUAGAGAUCUGGAGGAAUACCGGUGGCGAAGGCGGCCCCCUGGACGAAGACUGACGCUCAGGUGCGAAAGCGUGGGGAGCAAACAGGAUUAGAUACCCUGGUAGUCCACGCCGUAAACGAUGUCGACUUGGAGGUUGUGCCCUUGAGGCGUGGCUUCCGGAGCUAACGCGUUAAGUCGACCGCCUGGGGAGUACGGCCGCAAGGUUAAAACUCAAAUGAAUUGACGGGGGCCCGCACAAGCGGUGGAGCAUGUGGUUUAAUUCGAUGCAACGCGAAGAACCUUACCUGGUCUUGACAUCCAGAGAAUCCUGCAGAGAUGCGGGAGUGCCUUCGGGAACUCUGAGACAGGUGCUGCAUGGCUGUCGUCAGCUCGUGUUGUGAAAUGUUGGGUUAAGUCCCGCAACGAGCGCAACCCUUAUCCUUUGUUGCCAGCGGUUCGGCCGGGAACUCAAAGGAGACUG
rnacentral:rRNA from 1 species